ACUCUUAUAGGGAAACGGAGAAACCAACUUUAACAAAUCAGCCCCGUUCCAAUUAACGGCUCCUGUACACAUAUAUAUGUAUAUAUGUUCAAGGACUUGAUUCGCUAUUAAUGUUAUGGCCUGUCCCUCCGUCAGAGAGAUUCCCUCAUAAAUGUUGUCACCUUUCUGGGUGGCUACCCUACUGCUGCCUUUGAUGCUCAUGCCCAAUCCCUUCCUAGGGCACCCAUUUUGCAGAAGGAGACACUUUUGUCCUUACUAAAUUUCUAAACUUCCUCAUUCUUUAAAGGUCUUUAUGGGUUUUUUUCCCCUGGUAUUGCAUGUCACUCCCCUAAACUAACGGGCCUAUCAACUUGUGGGAGAGAGAGAUGGAUGGAUGGACGGAGAAUAAUGGGUUUAAAUGCAAUGGCCCGUUUUUCUGCUUUGGUAGCCUCGGUCUUAAAUGCAUUUGCAGGCGUCUCUACCCUAUUUAAUUGGGCCAAGACAUUCCCACCUCUCCUCACAAUUCCCAGUUAGGUGCCUCUCUCUCACAAGUCACCACACACACAAAGAAACUGACUGGUUGUGGGUGUGGGUGGGGGUGGGAGUGGGGUGUUUCCAUUACUUUCUGUUUGGAGUUGUUUCACCUUCUCAAAUCCCUUUUGUUUCCCUCCUCAAACGGCAAGUGAGAGCUGAACAACCUAAAGUAUGAGUUCACGUAUCAACUGCAUGAAAUGGCUGCUGCGAUAUUGGCCCGGUUCACUCAGAUACAGGAUACACCUACACUUCCAAAGAAAAAGAAAAAAGGUGUACUUUUGAUUUGAUUGAGCCGUGCCAAUAUCUGAGUUCCCUUUCAUUUCUACCAUUCCGAUCAAGUUUGAAGAUUCGUCUUGUACCAACAUUCUCGAUGGCCAUAUACGAUUGCGAGCCAUAAGGGUGACUGCCACUCAGAAGGACCUGCAGCAUCUUGAAACGGAGAAAAUGGAGAUGGUGCAACUCUAGGGUUGUUUUAUUUCCUGUAUUGCAAGUGGGUGAAGACGACUCAUAUAUCUAAGAUCCUUGCAAUACAUGGCCUUUGGGUUCGGUUCAUUUGGAUCAAACAUAUAGUGCUUAUAAUAAUUUCUCUUUCCUAAAUUAAUUCUCCUCAGUUGAAGCCUGAAGGCUGGAUAUUGACUCAUGUAUUACCAGCUCGAAGCUUUGGCCAUGAUUAUUCAUCAGAAACCUUGCUUACAAGGACAUGGCUUCUAGAUCUUUAUUUGAACUUUAACUUAACUUGUAAGAACAGAACUCUUGCCAAUAAAAGCUUAUGGCUUAAGCAAUGACAUGAUUCGGCAGCUUAUGAUAUAUCUUUACAUAUCAAUUUUAAA